AAACAUCUAAGUACCUGAAGGAAGAGAAAGAAAAAUCGAUUUUCUUAGUAGCGGCGAGCGAAAGGGAAAGAGCCCAAACCGGAAACUUGUUUCCGGGGUUGUGGACAUAGCAUAAAAGUGGAGGCUAUUGUAACUGAAGAGAACUGGAAAGUUCCACCGUAGAAGGUAAUAGUCCUGUAAGUGAAACGAGAAGACCACGAGUUAUGAUCCAGAGUACCACGAGACACGUGAAACCUUGUGGGAAGCAGGGAGGACCACCUCCCAAGGCUAAAUACUACCUGAUGACCGAUAGUGAAGCAGUACCGUGAGGGAAAGGUGAAAAGAACCCCGGGAGGGGAGUGAAAUAGAACCUGAAACCGUGUGCCUACAACCGCUCAGAGCCCCUUAUGAGGGUGAUGAGGUGCUUUUUGUAGAACGAGCCAACGAGUUACGGUAUGUAGCAAGGUUAAGUACUUAAGGUACGGAGCCGAAGGGAAACCGAGUCUGAAUAGGGCGACUAGUUGCAUGCCGUAGACCCGAAACCGGGUGACCUAUCCAUGGCCAGGUUGAAGCGAGGGUAAAACCUCGUGGAGGACCGAACCACGUUGCUGUUGAAAAAGCAUGGGAUGAGCUGUGGAUAGCGGAGAAAUUCCAAUCGAACCCGGAGAUAGCUGGUUCUCUCCGAAAUAGCUUUAGGGCUAGCGUCGAGUAUGAGUAGUGGAGGUAGAGCACUGAAUGGGCUAGGGGGCAUAGCGCUUACCGAACCUUAUCAAACUCCGAAUGCCACAUACUUUGAGCUCGGCAGUCAGACUACGAAUGAUAAGAUCCGUGGUCAAAAGGGAAACAGCCCAGAUCGUCAGCUAAGGUCCCAAAGUGUAAGUUAAGUGGGAAAGGAUGUGAGAUUUCUAAGACAACUAGGAUGUUGGCUUAGAAGCAGCCAUUCAUUAAAAGAGUGCGUAAUAGCUCACUAGUCGAGAGAUCUUGCGCCGAAAAUGUAACGGGGCUAAACUUACC
rnacentral:rRNA from 1 species